AACGCGAAGAACCUUACCCAGUUUUGACAUGUAGUGGAAGUAUCUAGAAAUAGAUGCGCUCUUCGGAGCCGCUACACAGGUGCUGCAUGGCUGUCGUCAGCUCGUGCCGUGAGGUGUUUGGUUAAGUCCAGCAACGAGCGCAACCCUUAUCAAUAGUUGCCAACGAUUCGGUCGGGAACUCUAUUGAGACUGCCUAGGUUAACUAGGAGGAAGGUGAGGAUGACGUCAAGUCCGCAUGGCCCUUAUAACUGGGGCUACACACGUGCUACAAUGGACGAUACAGAAGGCAGCAAAUCCGCAAGGUAGAGCAAAUCCUUAAAGUCGUUCCCAGUUCAGAUUGUAGUCUGCAACUCGACUACAUGAAGUUGGAAUUGCUAGUAAUGGCGUGUCAGCUACAACGCCGUGAAUACGUUCCCGGGCCUUGUACACACCGAUAGC
rnacentral:rRNA from 1 species